GUGCUCACUGGGGCAGCAUAUGUACCAAAAUUGGAACAAUACAGAGAUUAGCAUGGCCCCUGUGCCAGGACGACACACACAUUUGUGAAGUGUUCCAUAUUUAA